rnacentral:lncRNA from 1 species
AGAAAUUAACCAUCCCCCCUAUACACACACACACACACACACACACACCCUGAAAGGGCUUUCCUUGUCUUAAGCCUCUGUGUAUGAAACACUCUGGAACCCACCGGCCUAGGUGUUAGAACAGCACCGAAGUUGCCAGGGCCAGGGGUCCAGCCAUCCUGACCUCUGCUAGCCACCCUGCAAGGGCCGAUGUUCCCACGCAGGAGGCCCCAGGGAGGUGGUACUGAGCAACCGGCCACACCCAAGGAAACAGCUCAGAGCUCAACUUCCUCCUGAAUUAGGCCACACCCGAGGCCUCCCGGGUCUCAUCCACGCCUCUGGGUCCAUCACUAAACAGAAGGCACAAUCCCACUAACUCUUACUCCAUCGCUGCUCAUGAAACUCCUGCCAGUAAGGACUGGGUCAAGCACCUGAAAACCAGAGCUCGUCCGUGGCUUCACUUGUUUUGGACUAAGGAGCUGAGGAGCGUGCAAGACUGUACUUGGAGAAUCUGUUUCUUGCUGCCAUUUCGUCACUGAACACUAUUUUUUUUCUCCUUCUUUUUUUGUAAGAAAAGGAGAACACAUAAAACCCCACCAGAACAAACUCCACUCGGCCCUGAAAGUAUUUACAAUCACGGCCCUGAAAGUACUGAAAGUAUUUACAAUCACGUUACAGUUCAUUCACUGCUGCAGAACCUCUCUCCAGCGAUCAAGGUCGAAGGGAGCCGACGUCGCCCUCUAUCGGCUCCCUGCUGCACUAGAAGAUAUUGACUGAGAAUCCUCCAUGUGCCAAGUACUGUUCAAAAACACUGGGAACCCAGCAGGGAUGAGCCACAAGUUUCCUUGUCUUUACGAAGCUUUCAUUCUGAGGGAGUGGAGAGAGACAAGCAAUAAACAACCAAUCAAAACAAAGAUGACUCCUCUGAGUGUUGUGAUAUGCGGGUCAAGGAGGAUGGCUCCCAGGAUGUGACCUCAGAGCAGAAGCCUGGAGGCUUGCCAGCAGCGGGAAGAGCAGCGGCAGGGCACUGCAGGCAGAGGUGACCAAAAGCGUGAAACCUUGAGCUGGGAAGCACGUGGUCUGCUGGAAAGUGGGCUGAUGUAUUUGAAGAGAGCAAGGAGCAGAAUGGUACAAUGGGGUGAUGGGGGAAGAGCCAGGCAGAGCCCAGUGCUGCAAAGCCCGGUAGCACAUACAUGUGUAACGUACCUUGAAGCAAAUGAAUGGCCUGAUCUGGUUUCUGUUUUGGCUGCUCUGUGGUGAUGUGGUGCCUGGGAGGCAAAGAAGCUGGGAAAGAAGCGGUUUUUCUCUUCUAGGUACUUUAAAGCUCUAUAAUAUAUGCUCAGGUGAAAUUUGGCUGGUAUUUUCAGGGACUUCACUGCUUUUGUG